rnacentral:rRNA from 1 species
GGAGCUUGCUCCACCGGGAAAAGAGGAGUGGCGAACGGGUGAGUAACACGUGGGUAACCUGCCCAUCAGAAGGGGAUAACACUUGGAAACAGGUGCUAAUACCGUAUAACAAUCGAAACCGCAUGGUUUCGUUUUGAAAGGCGCUUUACGGUGCCGCUGAUGGAUGGACCCGCGGUGCAUUAGCUAGUUGGUGAGGUAACGGCUCACCAAGGCCACGAUGCAUAGCCGACCUGAGAGGGUGAUCGGCCACAUUGGGACUGAGACACGGCCCAAACUCCUACGGGAGGCAGCAGUAGGGAAUCUUCGGCAAUGGACGAAAGUCUGACCGAGCAACGCCGCGUGAGUGAAGAAGGUUUUCGGAUCGUAAAACUCUGUUGUUAGAGAAGAACAAGGGUGAGAGUAACUGUUCACCCCUUGACGGUAUCUAACCAGAAAGCCACGGCUAACUACGUGCCAGCAGCCGCGGUAAUACGUAGGUGGCAAGCGUUGUCCGGAUUUAUUGGGCGUAAAGCGAGCGCAGGCGGUUUCUUAAGUCUGAUGUGAAAGCCCCCGGCUCAACCGGGGAGGGUCAUUGGAAACUGGGAGACUUGAGUGCAGAAGAGGAGAGUGGAAUUCCAUGUGUAGCGGUGAAAUGCGUAGAUAUAUGGAGGAACACCAGUGGCGAAGGCGGCUCUCUGGUCUGUAACUGACGCUGAGGCUCGAAAGCGUGGGGAGCAAACAGGAUUAGAUACCCUGGUAGUCCACGCCGUAAACGAUGAGUGCUAAGUGUUGGAGGGUUUCCGCCCUUCAGUGCUGCAGCUAACGCAUUAAGCACUCCGCCUGGGGAGUACGACCGCAAGGUUGAAACUCAAAGGAAUUGACGGGGGCCCGCACAAGCGGUGGAGCAUGUGGUUUAAUUCGAAGCAACGCGAAGAACCUUACCAGGUCUUGACAUCCUUUGACCACUCUAGAGAUAGAGCUUCCCCUUCGGGGGCAAAGUGACAGGUGGUGCAUGGUUGUCGUCAGCUCGUGUCGUGAGAUGUUGGGUUAAGUCCCGCAACGAGCGCAACCCUUAUUGUUAGUUGCCAUCAUUUAGUUGGGCACUCUAGCAAGACUGCCGGUGACAAACCGGAGGAAGGUGGGGAUGACGUCAAAUCAUCAUGCCCCUUAUGACCUGGGCUACACACGUGCUACAAUGGGAAGUACAACGAGUCGCGAAGUCGCGAGGCUAAGCUAAUCUCUUAAAGCUUCUCUCAGUUCGGAUUGUAGGCUGCAACUCGCCUACAUGAAGCCGGAAUCGCUAGUAAUCGCGGAUCAGCACGCCGCGGUGAAUACGUUCCCGGGCCUUGUACACACCGCCCGUCACACCACGAGAGUUUGUAACACCCGAAGUCGGUGAGGUAACCUUUUUGGAGCCAGCCGCCUAAGGUGGGAUAGAUGAUUGGGGUGAAGUCGUAACAAGGUAGCCGUAUCGGAAGGUGCGGCUGGAUCACCU